UACAGAGGGUGCAAGCGUUGUUCGGAAUUACUGGGCGUAAAGCGCGCGUAGGCGGCUUUGCAAGUCGAGUGUGAAAUCCCCAGGCUUAACCUGGGAACUGCAUUCGAGACUGCAUAGCUAGAGUUUGGGAGAGGGAUGCGGAAUUCCAGGUGUAGCGGUGAAAUGCGUAGAUAUGCGGAGGAACACCGAUGGCGAAGGCAGCCUCCUGGGAUAACACUGACGCUCAUGCACGAAAGCGUGGGGAGCAAACAGG
rnacentral:rRNA from 1 species